rnacentral:lncRNA from 1 species
GGGAAAGUGCGCUUUUCAGAGAGCUAGGGGUUGCGCUUUGAGGCUCCUGGUGUCUGCCGUGAAGGCAAUUACCCAAGGGACCGUGAGCUUGCAGGUCUAAACAGUCCCUCCCCCGGCUCCCUCACCCGGCUGGAAGUCGAUGGUUCGCAACAUUUCGGCCACGUGCUCCACGCUCACGGAGAAUUGCUCCAUGCUCUCAUAGCCUGGCUCCGGCCGUCCUGCCAGCUCCACCUUCGACAUUGCCCCGACCCUGUGAUGGCCACAAGGGCUCAGCAGGGGGAUCCCACUCCCUCAAGCCCCUCCCAGGUCAGAAGGGAAGAAUCCACAGGGUCCCUUCCUUUCCCACCGUGCAGUCCACUCACUUGUUGAUCAGCUCCUUGGCCUGCUGCAGGGGAGAAAAGGAGGGCGAAGGCCUGCUUCCCUCCCUCUCCACCCACCUGGAGGUAGAGAGCCAUCUGCGGCUCCUCCAUGGACUGGAUGGCAGACUCCACCAGCUUCGAGGAGGCCUCCAAGUGGUCUCCGUACUGGCGGAUGAGGCCCCGCACGCGCUGCAACUUCUCCUCCUGCUCCCGGGCCAGUGCUUGAAGCAGUUCGCCCUUGCGCUCCUCCAAAACCGCACACAGAGUCUCGAACCUCUGGUUUAACAGUUGCUUCUGUCUGCGGCUGUUGUCCUGAAAGACCAUGGCAGUAUGAUCUCGCCUGCGCAACCCCAGAGCUCGAGAGCAAGAAAUUUUAGUCUUCAUCCCACUUUUUAAAAAGCCAAGAAGGAAAGUGACCUGGCUAGGGUCACACCCUGAGUCAGGGACACAGAACCCAGCUCAGAUAUUUUCAGUUAACAGCGAUGACAAGGAUGACAAAGAAUUUCAAAGUUGUUUCACUGGGAGCCAUGUAUGCUGCUGGCUCUGGCUCUGUGUUGCACUAAUUCCCACUUCCUUGUUAAGAAAAUUAAAUCAGUGGCUACUGUGUGACUACCAGCA